rnacentral:lncRNA from 1 species
UUUCCUUUGGCACCAAAAAUCAAUUUGGUCUGGUUUUCUUGUACCGCUAUGAACCAAUCGGCCUGUCGUAAUUGAGAUUGAACAGUUAAAAAGAGAUAAAUAUAUUUAGCUUUUAUGUUUCAACAAAUACAUAAUAAUAUAUAAUUUACAGAUAGUAAGCUACUAAACCUUAUCCACUGGGCCUACAAUUAAGCUACUCAAGGCAUAAUAGCCAAUGAAGAAAAUGGUCACCAAAGUCACUGGAUAAUCAUACUUAUACCAUUGGUGGCUUUUACAAAAAGACCCAAAAUCAACACCAAGAUUACAGAACACGGAUUAAUCACAAAGGCAUCAAGUUCUCAUUGAUUGGGCUCAAAUUAACCUUGUACCUGUCUGCACAAAGUGUAUAAACUCAAAAGACACAGCCCUAAACCAAAGAAUAUAGAGGCAGUCACUAAAAUGGUCCCAAAAUCUCCAAACUUAAUAGAAACCCUUUUCCAGUUCAAACUGAAGAAUUACCAAGACUCCUCACUCACAAAUUUACCAGAAAACCAGGAGUUUAAAAGCCAAAAAACAAGUUUCACAAAGAAGAUAGGGAAAGACGCACAGUCACUUGAAAAAGAAGAGACCCAGAAGCUUCUCAAAGAAGCACUCCAAGAGACGAGAAAAUGAAAGACCAAGUAGGGCAAAAGUCUUAGACCAAGAAUAUAUAGGCAAGGUCGUCACCAUAGAUGCUAGGUUUAGGAGAUUUGAGGGACCAAAGCGACAUACAUGUAUUAUCAAGUUUGGGCCAGGUCAUAAGGAGUUCAACACAAUGCGUUAUUGGGCAAGGGCUCAAAUAGUAUCUGUAAUUUUUAAAAAUUUAUCAUCAUAGUCAAAGUGAGCUGGACCACCUAGAAUUAUGGCAUCACAGCCCAAUAGUGGCAAACUUUUUGGUAAAUAAAUC